CUACGGGGCGCACCAGUGGGGAAUAUUGCACAAUGGGCGCAAGCCUGAUGCAGCCAUGCCGCGUGUAUGAAGAAGGCCUUCGGGUUGUAAAGUACUUUCAGCGGGGAGGAAGGGAGUAAAGUUAAUACCUUUGCUCAUUGACGUUACCCGCAGAAGAAGCACCGGCUAACUCCGUGCCAGCAGCCGCGGUAAUACGGAGGGUGCAAGCGUUAAUCGGAAUUACUGGGCGUAAAGCGCACGCAGGCGGUUUGUUAAGUCAGAUGUGAAAUCCCCGGGCUCAACCUGGGAACUGCAGCUGAUACUGGCGAGCUAGAGACUCGUAGAGGGGGGUAGAAUUCCAGGUGUAGCGGUGAAAUGCGUAGAGAUCUGGAGGAAUACCGGUGGCGAAGGCGGCCCCCUGGACGAAGACUGACGCUCAGGUGCGAAAGCGUGGGGAGCAAACAGGAUUAGAUACCCUAGUAGUC
rnacentral:rRNA from 1 species